ACAGAAAGUGAACAUAUUACGCUUCUAACAAAAGUUUAUGGGUCAUAUUAGACCAUCUCACCCUCAUAAGAUUAGAUUAUAAAUUAAUUUACUAUUCCACAAUAGAGCAAUUCAGGCGGGACAACCCUUUGCAUGUUUGUAAAAAGUUACUGAGUUUGUUGUGAGUAGCAGAGAUUGUAAAAACUAACCCCCAGGCACCACAUCCUCCAUGCUUGCUCCGCUCCGUUCAUGUCCAACCAACAGAGCAACUACACUGUUAUGUCAAUUAAUAAGAACAGUUCCAAAUUCUCUGCGACUGCUCCAAACGUCAUUGUCAAUGGACCUUCUCUCUGUUGUUCCCCACCAAAUUACAGAACAACUCCAAUUUUCUGGUUUUUCCGGUCCAUCCGGUUUAAGAUCCAUUAUUCCAAAAGAGAAACCACACUGAUUCAACAGCUCCGUAAAAUCUAUAGAUUGAGAAGAAUCUUAACAAACCAUAUCAUCCAUAGGGGAGUUAAAAUGGUAAGCGUGAGCGAUUUAACCACACACUUAAUCAGCUGUUACGAGCUUUGCAGCCAAAGCAGACAUGGCAUUGGCCUUGGCACCCUUUUCAGACCACUUAUGCAUAUAAUGCCACUGUCCAACAGGCAAUGACUGGUGACUCGAUACUGUUUGAUUUUUUUGGCCUAGAGUGGAUUUCUUGGUGGGAGUCGAAGGGGAGCAUCUUGAUCUGUCCAUGGAAGAUUGGGUGAUGGAACAUCAAAAGUAUGUUGGUGUUGCAUAUGAGGUGAGAAGAACACAACAGUAUUGAAAUGCUAAAGUUAAUGGGGAUACCCCUGAUUUUUUUCUUUUUACAAGGUGAUGUGGUGUACACCAGAAACUAAUCCGUGAAAGGUCGAAAUAAGAUCGAAGAUGUUGGAUCCCAUGCAAUUACAGGAAACUGAACUGAAACUGUACAAGCAGCUAUCCCUAAUGAUUUUGUGGAACCCAGUCAGAAUGUUACCUUUGCGUAAUUAACUUUGAACGAGGUGCAACACUGUGCCAUCCUUCACAGGAGGACGACUUACUGUACGCACAGACAAUGGAACUCCACAGAUCACCUGGUAGGAGUGCUCAGCAGCAUUCCAACCAUUUCAAUUGGCUAAUCUGUGCUUUUGAAAGUUAAAGAAUGAACUGCAGUCUUUGCAUUUCUCAGUUCAUUGUUAUUGUUGCUGAUGCACUUUGAAGAGGAGGGAAUUAACCCGUGGUACCUAUUGUUUCUCCACCCGUCUGACUGAAGGAGAAGAACAUAAAGGACCAGGCAUGACGUGAUCAGAGAUGUUUGUCAGAACUCUGGUGAUUGCAUCUCUGUCGUUGGACCUUGUGCAGAUUCCUCCAUGGAGUUCUGGCUUAACAUAAUUGUCUUUGUGCUGGUUUUCGCCAUCACAAUCAUGGGCUGCCUCUUCAUUUUGAGGAGAAUAACCGUUGAAUUUUGGAGAUUUAAAAGGGGUGAACGCAGCACUGCCCAUUUUUGUUGCUGCUUAUUAUUGUGGGUUCCACCCUUGGUCGGUUUCCUUCUGUUCCUGAUCCACGUUGUCACUCCUUAAUCCAUGGGUUAGAUCAGUGAGCCACCCUGGUCACUGAGAACUACUCGUCGUCAGAAACAAGGCUGAUUUCUGCAUAUAUUUCAGUUUCUCUUCUGUGUGCAAUAUACCUGCGACAAUUAAUUUUUUCUAUCUAAUGUUAUAUAGAUGCAUUUGUAAAUUUUAGGAUUUACUUGUACUAUGUGGAGAUGAUUACAUAUAUAUUGAAGAGGAUAAAACUUAACUAGCAAUGAUAUGUAGAACAAAUAAAGUCAUGGGCAUCAUGAGGAUUUGGAGGAUUCUGAUCUGGGUGAAGUUCUCCUGCGUACAUCAUAGAGACGUUUACAUCUUCUUGAUAUGAUUUAAUGACAUGGUGGCUACAUUGUAGCCAUCAGCUUGUGAAUGUGUGGUGAAUGACUGAAUGUACAGGCCAUUACUUAGUCCAGGCCAGUUGAAUAUCAUUUAAUUUAAUUUAAUUUAAAAUGUACAAAAUAUGGGAGUCCGCUGAGAGGACUUAUCAGGCCUACCAUUGGACAUCAGACAGCACAAAAGUAUGUUCUGCCCAGAUGACGCGUCAAGAAGAAGCUGCCAGACCAGUGCUGGAAGAAAAGAAAAACACAUUUUAUCCUCAUACCCUGGUGUAGAGAACAAAUUCAAAGGCAGACGUGUUGCCACAGAUCCCACCCAUCUGAGCAAUGCACAGUUUGUCCCACUUCCAUCAAGUGAGCGAUCUAGGAACAUUAAACAGACGGCAAAUGUAGGAAAUGUUUGCUGAACUUAGAAAUCGUUUUUCAUAUCUUCUGCUCCUGGGUAGAAUCUGAAUUAAAGGUGUACGGCUGUAUCAUUGCGCUUUUAUUUGCAGCCAUUUUCAUGUGUAUAAAGUGGGAGUGUGUAAACUUUGAGUUGGGGGGUUGCAGUCAGUAACACCUUAUUUACCUAAAAUAAAAACAACACAUUUUAAAUUACCUUAAAAUAGUGAAUCUGAGGAGGGGAAAUCUCAUCAUCUGAGAAUGAUUUUGUGCAAACAAAAUUUAAUGAACAUGUUUGGUAUACCCCAUGGACCUGUUCUAAAUAUUUAAAAAGAGUAUAACAGGCCACUUUUAAAAGUAAAUGAACCAACAUGCACAAUGGACAAGACUCAUGUUGAGGUUGAGGGUUGCUGAGUAAGAAUCAGGAAUCAAGAAGCUUUAUUGUCAUUAUGUGUAACAUUUCUCCAUGAGUGUACAGUCUUU